rnacentral:rRNA from 1 species
UGCGCAGGCGGCCUGUUAAGUCAGAGGUGAAAUUUGUCGGCUCAACCGACAGACUGCCCCUGAAACUGACAGGCUUGAGUCCGGGAGAGGAAGGUGGAAUUCCAGGUGUAGCGGUGAAAUGCGUAAAUAUCUGGAGGAACACCGGUGGCGAAGGCGGCCUUCUGCCCGGAACUGACGCUCAGGCACGAAAGCUAGGGGAGCGAACG